rnacentral:rRNA from 1 species
AGUGAACGCUGGCGGUAGGCCUAACGCAUGCAAGUCGAACGGCAGCACAGUAAGAGCUUGCUCUUACGGGUGGCGAGUGGCGGACGGGUGAGGAAUACAUCGGAAUCUACUUUUUCGUGGGGGAUAACGUAGGGAAACUUACGCUAAUACCGCAUACGACCUACGGGUGAAAGCAGGGGAUCUUCGGACCUUGCGCGAUUGAAUGAGCCGAUGUCGGAUUAGCUAGUUGGCGGGGUAAAGGCCCACCAAGGCGACGAUCCGUAGCUGGUCUGAGAGGAUGAUCAGCCACACUGGAACUGAGACACGGUCCAAACUCCUACGGGAGGCAGCAGUGGGGAAUAUUGGACAAUGGGCGCAAGCCUGAUCCAGCCAUACCGCGUGGGUGAAGAAGGCCUUCGGGUUGUAAAGCCCUUUUGUUGGGAAAGAAAAGCAGCAGGUUAAUACCCCGCUGUUCUGACGGUACCCAAAGAAUAAGCACCGGCUAACUUCGUG